AUUGAACGCUGGCGGCAGGCCUAACACAUGCAAGUCGAACGAGUGGCGGACGGGUGCGUAAUGUCUGGGAAACUGCCCGAUGGCGGGGGAUAACUACUGGAAACGGUAGCUAAUACCGCAUUCCAUCGGAUGUUCCCAGAUGGGAUUGUCUAGUAGGGUGGGUAAUGGCUCAACUAGGCGACGAUCCCUAGCUGGUCUGAGAGGAUGACCAGCCACACGGGAACUGAGACACGGUCCAGACUCCUACGGUAGGCAGCAGUGGGGAAUAUUGCACAAUGGGCGCAAGCCUGAUGCAGCCAUGCGGCGUGUAUGAAGAAGGCCUGCGGGUUGUAAAGUACUUUCAGCGAGGAGGCGUUACUCGCAGAAGAAGCACCGGCUAACUCCGUGCCAGCAGCCGCGGUAAUAC
rnacentral:rRNA from 1 species